rnacentral:rRNA from 1 species
UCAGAUGAACGCUGGCGGCAGGCCUAACACAUGCAAGUCGAACGGUAACAGGAAGAAGCUUGCUCUUGCUGACGAGUGGCGGACGGGUGAGUAAUGUCUGGGAAACUGCCUGAUGGAGGGGGAUAACUACUGGAAACGGUAGCUAAUACCGCAUAACGUCGCAAGACCAAAGAGGGGGACCUUCGGGCCUCUUGCCAUCGGAUGUGCCCAGAUGGGAUUAGCUAGUAGGUGGGGUAACGGCUCACCUAGGCGACGAUCCCUAGCUGGUCUGAGAGGAUGACCAGCCACACUGGAACUGAGACACGGUCCAGACUCCUACGGGAGGCAGCAGUGGGGAAUAUUGCACAAUGGGCGCAAGCCUGAUGCAGCCAUGCCGCCGUGUAUGAAGAAGGCCUUCGGGUUGUAAAGUACUUUCAGCGGGGAGGAAGGGAGUAAAGUUAAUACCUUUGCUCAUUGACGUUACCCGCAGAAGAAGCACCGGCUAACUCCGUGCCAGCCGCUGC